rnacentral:rRNA from 1 species
UACAGAGGGGGGCGAGCGUUAUUCGGAAUUAUUGGGCGUAAAGGGCGCGUAGGCGGCUUUUCAAGUGACGGGUGAAAUCCCUCGGCUUAACCGAGGAACUGCCUGUCAGACUGGAAGGCUUGAGACCGGGAGAGGUGAGUGGAAUUCCCAGUGUAGCGGUGAAAUGCGUAGAUAUUGGGAGGAACACCAGUGGCGAAGGCGGCUCACUGGACCGGAACUGACGCUGAGGCGCGAAAGCGUGGGGAGCAAACAGG